AUUGAACGCUGGCGGCAGGCCUAACACAUGCAAGUCGAACGAGUGGCGGACGGGUGAGUAAUGUCUGGGAAACUGCCUGAUGGAGGGGGAUAACUACUGGAAACGGUAGCUAAUACCGCAUACCAUCGGAUGUGCCCAGAUGGGUUUAGCUAGUAGGUGGGGUAAAGGCUCACCUAGGCGACGAUCCCUAGCUGGUCUGAGAGGAUGACCAGCCACACGGGAACUGAGACACGGUCCAGAGUCCUACGGGAGGCAGCAGUGGGAAAUAUUGCACAAUGGGCGCAAGCCGGAUGCAGCCAUGCGGCGUGUAUGAAGAAGGCCUUCGGGUUGUAAAGUACAUUCAGCGGGGAGGCGUUAGGAGAAGAAGAAGCACCGGCUAACUCCGUGCCAGCAGCCGCGGUAAUUG
rnacentral:rRNA from 1 species